AUACGGGAGGCAGCAGUGGGGAAUCUUGCACAAUGGGGGAAACCCUGAUGCAGCGACGCCGCGUGAGCGAUGAAGCCCUUCGGGGUGUAAAGCUCUUUCGACGGGAACGAUAAUGACGGUACCCGGAGAAGAAGCUGCGGCUAACUACGUGCCAGCAGCCGCGGUAAUACGUAGGCAGCGAGCGUUGUUCGGAGUUACUGGGCGUAAAGAGUAUGUAGGCGGUUGCGCAAGUUUGGUGUGAAAUCUCCCGGCUUAACUGGGAGGGUGCGCCGAAAACUGCGCGGCUAGAGUGCGGGAGAGGAGAGCGGAAUUCCUGGUGUAGCGGUGAAAUGCGUAGAUAUCAGGAGGAACACCGGCGGUGUAGACGGCUCUCUGGACCGCGACUGACGCUGAGAUACGAAAGCGUGGGGAGCAAACAGGAUUAGAUACCCUGGUAGG
rnacentral:rRNA from 1 species